GAGGUGGGCAAGUUAGUUGCUCCAAAAACAAGAUAAAAUGAUUGAGUUCUUUUCUCAAGCGGGAGUCGGAGUUUAUCUGCUCUGAGAUGCUCCAGAUGGUUUUCUUACAGAGAAACUUCAUUUCAUGCUUGCAGUUGUUUAUUCCCAUGCAUCUAACUCUCGGCCAGGCACUGAAACAGAGCCCCAGCAGCUACUAUUAAUGAGUGUCUGGAAUAUGUUCCUGGCAUUUCACCUACCCUCUCUCCAAUCCUUCCAAGAAACUCACAAAGCAGGGCUUUUUCUUGAACUUCUCUUCCUCACAACAGUUAAAUCAUCCAUUUAAAGAUGUCAAACAACCUCCGUGUUCUAAGAACUAUUUACUGAGCUCUACGGAGACACAGCUACAAGCACCACAUGCUGGACCCCUGAAUAUGGAGGGCCAACUACACUAGAAACACACACGCUAGCUGAGAAAGAUGGUGGCUUAAGG
rnacentral:lncRNA from 1 species